rnacentral:lncRNA from 1 species
CCUUUAUCCCUCGCAGUUGCAGAGGUGGCCUUCCCAUCAGCUAAGCCGAGGUUCUUAAACAACAGAUUCCGAACACUGUUAAGUCCGCAGUCCUGGUGUGCUCCCAGGGUCCCAGAGCAAACUGAAUAAUUGCUCUUCUGUCAUCAGCACCAAGUGGGUUUGCAAUGGACUUUCUUCCACACUUGGGUGGGAUAUUGUGCUUUUACUGGGAGUAUAUCCCACUGUGUCGAGUCCACAAUAGCAGGCACGGCACAGCCGUCCUUUAGGUAUCACUUUCCUAACCCACCUUUCUUCACAGGAGCUGCACCUUCCCACUGCAUCUUCAACAACAAUCCUGUGAGGUAGGUUAGGCCAAGAGAUGACAACUGGCCCAAGGUCACCCAGGGAGCUUCAUGGCCGAGUGGUGGUCUCCCAGGUCUCAGUCCGAGGAGUGAGGAAUUGGAUCUGGCUGGCAGACUCAAUCAGGGCCGGCCCACCCAUGAGUCAAGGUGAGGUGGUUGCCUUGGGCGGCAGGAGCCACAGGGACAGCAGAUCUGGCUUCCAAGGAAUGAACUGCCCACUGCUGCAGUAGCAGCAACAGCUGUGGCAAAUUCCUUGGAGCCUGGAUCUUCCUUUUCCUUGGAAGCCCCCACAAUGCUGACCCUACAGCGAACUCUUGGGAAAGAGAAGGUGCUGGUGGUUUCCUCCCACCCCUAGGGAGCAAAUGGCAGGAACUGCCCUCUAGGUACUCCUGGGGUCUGCACCCACCUGGUGUGAAUCAGAGCAGCGCAGGCCCUUUUUCUUCCCACAAUGGCCUUGGAUUCCCACUUCAAACUUCAGGGAAGGGUGAUUUACUUCCCACUUUGUUCCCAAUGUAGAUCUUCACUUAUGCCUUCUUCCCAGUCCAGGAAAGGGAGUCACUAUUUUGUGGUUUGCCUCAGGUGGCCAAAUGUCUUGGGCCAGCCCUGGACCAGAUCCUGAUCUCCACACACCUCCGCAGGGCCCUCUUUGGCAUCUGGGUGGGGCCACCCAGCUGCCAAUCACCUGAUGUCACAAUGGCAUCAGUUGGCCUGUUUCGUCCCCAUGUGCUCUGAAAUAAAAUUGGGCAGGCACUACUUCCUAGCACCAAAUUUCUACAGGUUAUCAGCCCUGGGAGAAGUAUUGCGUGCAGCGCUAUCCAGGCAUUGAGAAUGAGCUGCCGGUGGACUCCUGGGAAGUCCUGUGGGCAAUGCUUGGGAAAAUGCUGCACAAAGUGCUUUGCAGGCACCUCCCACCCGCUGAUCGUCAGUGCCUGCAAAGCGUCUUUCAUCCAAAACCCCGCCUUUACCUGUCCCACCUUUGAUGUCAUAUAUUCACCCUAAGGGACACAGGUGGCGCUGUGGGUUAAACCACAGAGUCUAGGACUUGCCGAUCAGAAGGUCGGCGGUUCGAAUCCCCGCAAUGGGGUGAGCUCCCGUUGUUUGGUCCUUGCUCCUGCCAACCUAGCAGUUCGAAAGCACAUCAAGUGCAAGUAGAUAAAUAGGUACCGCUCCGACGGGGGGGUAAACGGCGUUUCCGUGCGCUGCUCUGGUUCGCCAGAAGCGGCUUAGUCAUGCUGGCCACAUGACCCGGAAGCUGUACACUGGCUCCCUCGGCCAAAAAAGUGAGAUGAGUGCCGCAACCCCAGAGUCAUCCACAACUGGACCUAAUGGUCAGGUAUCCCUUUACCUUUACCUAUUCACCCUAAUGACCUCAUUGGCCAACAGGGGAGUCCUAACGGGCUUAAUUUGACUCACAGGCAAAAGAUUCUCUCCUGCUCUGUCCUAAUGGAACACUCUAACCACUACCCUGUAUGUGGGGAAAGAUACCAUUUGCCCCCUUUUAAAAUAAAACAUUUCCCCCCCUCCAAUUCUUUUUCUUUAAGAAUCAAUUAUUUCACCCCACCCUGCCCCAAC